GGCACCGCCCCUGCUUCCUUUCAGGUGGGCACAAAGAUUGUUCCCCAAAAAAUAGAAAGGCCAUGCAGAAAGCAAACACAAUUUAAAUUUCGUCACAAAGAACAUCAAGACAUUAGUGGUGUAGUGAGAAUAAAAUGUAUGGUUUUACCUAACUGUAGUAGGUUAAAUGAUCCACCAGCCAAUAGCAGCAAAGUGAGAUUUGAUUAAAUACAGCACAAAUGGAACUUUGCAUCAAACUUUACCUUGUAACUUCCACAUUUUACCAAGCAGAGGGGCCAAGCAAAAUCUUCAGUGACUGGUAAGAAAAGACCAAUAUAAGAGAACAAAGAAUCACGAACCAACCAGAAGUUUUUUACCAACAAAUGUCAAUAAGUGAUGUAAACUGACCAUAGGUAAUUGCACGAAUCUAACACUGGAUCUUUGUCAUGAUCAGCAUUCAUAACAAAGGACUAAAAAACACGGUUGAAGCUAUACGGCACUCAAUCAUCAAUAUGUACAUUAGUACACUCGAUCCCAUGCUGAACACGUUCGUAAAAUUUAUUCUUCCAAUUUCAAUGUUACACUACCCUUCUGAAGUGCUACAGAUCAUAUGAGGUGUGUGCUUUCUGUCUUAUGCACCAGCAUUUUCAGUAAUUGCAUCUUUUUUUAAUGGAGCAUAUCUGACUUUUGCGUUUAUGGUAAUGACGCAGAACUUGAUUUUUAGAACAAAAAAUGCACAAUUCAUAAUUAAUCAAAUGGAUAUUACUGGUGUUGUAAAGAGAGAAAUUUAUAGGCCAUUUCUUAUGUUAAACACAUAUCGGUACAUUAAAACCAUUAUACGUACCAUUACCGUAAUUAGCUCGCCAACUUAAGUUCUAGGAUCAUAUGCUAACCUAAAGUGUAACAGCGUAAAGUUCUCCACUAGGUUACUAGCUAAGGCACCACAAUUAGUGUGACAAAGUAACAAGAUUAUCACCAUCAAAUAGAAGUAGGUAUUAUUCCAACAUGUGUACCAUGAAAGGGUCUUAGCAGAAUAUCUUUUAAUAGUUCAAUGCUGGCGAAUCAUUUAUUCUGAUAUCUAACAUAUCUAGUUCAAUAAUUUUCACAGUCAGGUAUAAGGAGAAAAUGUGGAACACCUAGAAAAAAUGUCAAACACAUGAUACAAACAAGUGUGAGUGGAAGUGUGGAACUGAAAAACACAUGAACGCAAAUGUUUGUGUAAGGGUAAUCUUCAGACUUUUGCAUAGUAUUGUUGUAGUACUUGAAGUUGAAAAGCACAUGACCAGCUCCCAACCUGUGUGGAAAACAAAGAAAAAUUAUAUCUGCUCAAUUGGUCACAUUGAAACCCAAAUGCAUUUGUAGAGAUGAAAGUAAAAAGCAUAGUGUCACACUAAGACCUGGCCAGACAAUAGGUGCUUCGGUUAGGCUAAGGUCACACAAGAGCUCAACAAACCUGAGCCGGUAGCCAAAACCUCACCUCUAGGCACUAACAUGAAUUUGAUAUACUGACUCCAUUCUUUUACCUGCCCUUUCAGACAUCUAAAUCUAUAUAGAAGGUACCAAUACAUGUUUGUGGAAUCCACACAAUUUGAACCAUCCAUCCAACUUUCACCGAAUGACUCGGAAUUUCAGUUCGACUUUCUCAGAUUCGGCUUUAAUUGCACAAUAAUCCUCUUAAUAAAACUCCAUAUUAUGUAUUUUCCUCCUACCUUAAUUUUAAGUGAAAUCCUAACCCCUCCUCUGAUUUCUCUUGUGCGCACUCACUCACUCUGUGUCCUCUUCUCUCAACAAUGAUUUAUGGGCAAGGUGACAUAUUUCCCCCCUCUUCUCCCCAUGCAAACAUGCCCACUUCCCUCCCGAUAUCUGCCACCUUUGCGGCUCACCUACCAACCGCCCCCACCGUGCUAUCUAUUGUGUGGCGCUGAGAACUUCUUUGUGUUUGCAAUAUGUUCAUUUCAUUUUGCAUUAUGUCCCUAUGACCAAUGCCAUCACUUUCUUCAACUAUAUUUCAGGAGAGCCACUAAAAGUAAUAUAAUGAUCUGAAGGUAUUUUCUAUGGAAAAUCUAGAACUAUUAUUUGAACAUGACAAAUCAGUAUAUAUUUGUGUAUAUUAGCACCCAGUUUAAAAGAUAGACUCCAUGCAUUCUAAAACAACACCUAACAACAAACAUAUCCAUCUUAGCCCGCUCAACUGUCACAGAUGUCCAGUUUUCACCCUCAACUAUGAAACAGAACAUUUAACAGCAUGUCCAUGUUAGUGUUGCCACAUUUGGUACAUGCCAUCCACACACACAUAAAAUGUUCUCACCAAGCAGCAAGCUUAGCUGCGCUGACUGCAAAACAGUGGCCAUCUACUAAACCCUAUCAAAAACUCAAAAUAGAUAUUUUCGAACUAAGCUUUCCAAGCAAGCGAAUGCAGUUACUCACGACUCUAUUACAAUAAAAAGGGCUAUAGAUAUGCAUAUACAUGUAGUAGUGUUACCUUAUGAUAUGUGGUAAUGAUGAAGGUGGGACACCACUGUAUGAGUAACUACUAUAUGGAGAUUCAGACAUGUCUUUUGCACCAGCUUCUUGAGCAGAUAUGCCUACUUGGAGUUGAUAUGAACCCUGCAACAAUAAUAUAAAUCACUGAGAAGUUAAGGAAAUAAAUAACAGAACAUACUGCAGUAAGGUGCUGCCAUCCUAUAUAGAAAAUACUUACCACUUAAAUGCGAAAACACUUAUUAGAUAAAAAAUAAAGUAAUAGGGAUAAACUUACCGUAGCAUCAACCUUAUGAGAGCAAAAUGUCAAGCAACUGUCCUGCUCCAUAAAUUCCGGAUGCAUAUAUAACAAAAGGAAAGGCAAGUAGAUCAACAUAUAGAGUCAAGUACGGGCAUCUUUGGUUCAAGGCUAACUUUUCUUAUGCAAUGUGUGGCUUACCGCAAAAGAGUGGCUAACAAGAUUAAAGCCACAAGUGUGGCAAAAGAUUGUGUCUAUGACACAUGGGCCAUAUAGGUAGUUAAGUGUGUGGUAAAAACGAGUAUGUACCUCAAAAAGUUGUGGCUUGCCUACGGUUAAGCGUGGCAAGUUGUGCAAAAUAUUACAUCGGCCAUAUAGGUAGUUAAGUGUGUGGCAAAAAAGAGUAUGUACCUCAAAAAACUGUGGCUCCAAUGGUAAAGUAUGGCAAGUUGUGCAAAAGAUUGUGUCUAUGACACAUAGGCCAUAUAGGUAGUUAUGUGUGGCAAAAACAAGUGUGUACCUCAAAAAAUUGUGGCUUGCCUAUGGUUAAGCAUGGGAAGUUGUGACUGGGAACCAAACAACCCCUAAGAUUGGAAUGUAGUUUCCACUACACUGCAUAUUCUCUCUCUUGAUUUAACCAUUUUCUAUUAAAAACAAAAAGAUAGCGAAUGAACUAAAUGAAACACAUUUGCGGAAUCACUGGAAUUUCCAUAAACUACAAUUUCAACCUUUACUGUUAAUGUUCAUCUUAUAAUAUAUUCAGUUAUCUUGAUGCAAAUUGCACUACUAAUUUGACAAUUUUCCAUCUGAACUUUUGGAUGGGAUGUGCUAAUUAAUUGCAAGCACUACAGCCUUCUAGAUAGCAGAAGGUAAAUGGGGUAGAUCGUCAAUAUUUAACGUACAGGUGGCUAAGGUAAUUUAUUUAGUUGAAACAUGCUUCAGGUGCUGCAAAAGGAUUUUGCUUCGUCCAUCCUAUGGUUAAAUACUACAGAAAAUUUGCAGUGCAUACAAUAGGAACAUUAAAGCUUAAAACCAUGAGCGAGUUGAAUUGGCACACCUCUAAGAAACUUGGGCUCAUACUAACUGUAGAAGCAAACUCCACUGUAUGUCCCAAAUUUAAAGUUACACAGUUCUCCAGAGACGAACCAAGUAGAUCAAUUGGUAUUUUACCCCAGAAACAUUUCCCUUCAAGCUCUGACAAAAUGCAUCACAUACAUGAUAGUAAAUAACUGCACUUAACAACACUACAAAUAAUAAGUGGUUUCUGAGAUUCAAUGUGUUCUUUACACUUCAUUUUAGAAGGCACAUGUGCUAGAUAUACUAGCCAGUAUGGGUGACUGACAAUAACUAUACCAUAAAAGGAGAUAAAAUAAUCUAAACUAAUGGCAUACAUGGCGUAGUAGCCCCUUGUCAAAAACAGAUAAUGCAAUGUUGAAGGAUACUUCUCAUUUGAUUCUCCUAACCAUAGUAAAGUCGGUAAACACAGCCAAAUCUUGCUCACCUACACUUUGUUAAGUAGUUAUCCAUGGAUUAAAGGAAUGUUUGUUAACUAUUUUUGGUUUCCAACGACUAUAAUACUAAACUUCCAUGCAAGAGAAGGUCUGGUAUGUUGCUGUUAGCUGUGAGAUAGGUGGUUUCAAGGGUUGGAUUGGUUUGGCCAAGAAUAUUGGGCGUGAACUAGCUUAGCAUACUGGGAGAUAAACAUAGUUUGAUCACUGGUCUUCAUUCUUGUCAAGAAUUGGGCAUUUGAGAAUACAGAUGUAUCUUCCACCACAUGAUAAGCAACAGUAACUAGCUAGUGGUAGCUCAACCUGUGUGGCACAUAUUUUGUGUGGCACCCAUUUUGUGUAUCUAUCUAAAUGUCUUACUUGCUACUCCCUCUGUAAACUAAUAUAAGAGUGUUUAGAUCACGACUUUAGUGAUCUAUAAACGCUCUUAUAUUAGUCUGUGGAGGGAGUAAGUUUUAACAUAUUGUGUUAAACAACGGUAAGGAUGCGCUUAUUCUAGUAAUUGUUUAGUAUUUUUUCACAAAAUAACAACCACAAACAUACUUUGGAGAGCAUUAGUCCAUUAGUUCGUCGGCCAUUUCCAGCCUGUGUUAACUUUCGGCCUUCUAAGGGCCCAUUUAUUCUUGGGCUCAUUUCUAGAAUUCAGUCAUUUACAGUCUGUUACUGUCCUGUUCCGUUUGUGGGCCAAAUUCAGCCCGUGGUUACAUUCGGCCUGCUUGUGGGCCAAAUGCAGAGACAGAGACAAGAGGGUUGUCUAAGAACUAUAACUUUCUUCGCAGUUGCGGUUGCCGUCAUUGCCUGUGCUUACAUCUUUGAAUCAAAGAAGAGGCACUGUGGUUAGACUGCAAGUCUCCAUUUUCAGAUGAUUGCAAUUCAGUUAUGGGUUCUGAUGAACAAAGUUAAUCGUCCAUUGAGAUGUUGUGCACUCAUAUCUGUAACUAAUCUGCUGAUACAGCGAUGAGGAUGCAGGUAUAUGCUAUCAUCCAUGUAAUAUUAUUAAAACUGUCAAUUAUGCAAGUACAUAUUGCAAAUAAGAAAGUGAAAGGGGCGUACCCCACCAGGCACCGCCCCUGCUUCCUUUCAGGUGGGCACAAAGAUUGCUCCCCAAAAAAUAGAAAGGCCAUGAAGAAAGCAAACAAAUUUAUAUUUCAUCACAAAGAACAUCAAGACAUUAGUGGUGUAGUGAGAAUAAAAUGUAUGGUUUUACCUAACUGUAGCAGGUUAAAUGAUCCACUAGCCAAUAGCAGCAAAGUGAGAUUUGAAUAAAUACAGCACAAAUGGAACUUUGCAUCAAACUUUACCUUGUAACUUCCACAUUUUACCAAGCAGAGGGGGC
rnacentral:lncRNA from 1 species